CGUUUUACACGGACUCUUCGGUUGUAGCUCUCAGUGCGGGGAGUGCAGCUGUACGAGAGAACAAUUGCUAGAGCCUCUACUGGGGGAUCAUCUGUCUGUUUGCUGACCUGGAAGCUGCUUCAUCAUUAAUAUCUGGCCGGAGCUGAGCCAUAUUGUGGGACCAAGACCAACUUCAGGAUUACAACCUGUAAAACUGACAAUCACAACUGCUGUCACCACUGCCACUGCCCACCACCACCCUCCUCACCUGGCUUCCCCCACCACCUCCACCCUUCACCAACAUUACUUCUCCAAUGCUGACAUCCCCACCCAGAACACCUACAGUGAGAAAUUGUUUUGAGAAGAUUCUUUUGUGUAUUGCAAUGUGUCUUGACAGGAUAACUGUGGCUUGGUUGAAUGUUCGGCCAAUUUUAUGGAGUUUUGAUUAGUUGUUACAUGUUAUUUAUUCUGAUGAUUUUUAUGGAGAAUGUCAUGUUUCAGCAUGUGGUCAAGAUGGUUAAUGACCCAUAUGUUUUACUAGUUUCAGUAUUUUCUUAUCUUCAACCUGGCUUUUCUAGUCUCUGUGGCUAGUUAUAAGGAAAUAUUUUCAGAGAACCCCAUUUUAUACAUUGAUUACAGACUGCCUAUGACAUUGUUAGACUAUCAGUUUCAAAACAGAUCUCUU